UACGUAGGGUGCGAGCGUUGUCCGGAAUUACUGGGCGUAAAGAGCUCGUAGGUGGUUUGUCGCGUUGUUCGUGAAAUCUCACGGCUUAACUGUGAGCGUGCGGGCGAUACGGGCAGACUGGAGUACUGCAGGGGAGACUGGAAUUCCUGGUGUAGCGGUGGAAUGCGUAGAGAUUGGGAGGAACACCAGUGGCGAAGGCGGUUGCCUAGGGCUUUGCUGACGCUGAGGCGCGAAAGCGUGGGGAGCGAUCCGG
rnacentral:rRNA from 1 species